AGCAGCCGCGGUAAUUCCAGCUCCAAUAGCGUAUAUUAAAGUUGUUGCAGUUAAAAAGCUCGUAGUUGAACUUCGGGGUUUACCCAUUGGUCAGGCUUAAUUGUCUGUACUGGUGAGAUAAAUCUCUACCUUCUGAGGAACUUUCAUGCCAUUUAGUUGGUGUGAUAGGAAAUCAGGACUGUUACUUUGAAAAAAUUAGAGUGUUUAAAGCAGGCUAACGUCUGAAUACAUUAGCAUGGAAUAAUGAAAUAGGACGGAUUGGUUCUAUUUCGUUGGUUUCUAGGAUCACCGUAAUGAUUAAUGGGGAUAGUUGGGGGCAUUAGUAUUCAAUUGUCAGAGGUGAAAUUCUUGGAUUUAUUGAAGACUAACUAUUGCGAAAGCAUUUGCCAAGGAUGUUUUCAUUAAUCAAGAACGAAAGUUAGGGGAUCGAAGACGAUCAGAUACCGUCGUAGUCUUAACCAUAAACUAUGCCGACUAGGGAUCGGACGAAGUUAAUUUUAUAAUGACGCGUUCGGCACCU
rnacentral:rRNA from 1 species